CUCUUUGGAGUGUUACAAGCAUCUCCGUGAAGUUGGCACCCCAUAAAAAGGAAUGAUCAUCAAAACUAUGGCAUUCGUUUGUGCUACGUUUGUGCUGAUUUGUGCCACAAAAAUGAACGUUUGUGCUGGUUUGGUGUUUGAGAUAUUAAACAUUCUUUUUUUGACCGUGUGACAUCACUCUCCACCCCAUGGCGUCCAAAUCUCUCCAAACCGGUGCCAUUCGUUUGUGCUCGAUUUGUGCUGGUUUGUGCCAUUCAAAUUUGCAUUGUAUCUAUUUCCCGUCCUCACAAAUAACAAAUACAAAACGGGCCAGUGACGUCCCUCCAAACCGGUGCCGUUCGUUUGUGAGGUAUUUGACCUCCGUGAAGUUGGCCCCCCACUCAACGCAAAACGUCAGCAAAAUCGUCUCAGUCGUUUGUGCUGUAAAAAUUUUCGUUUGUGCCGCUUUGGUUUUUUAGAUUAAAAUAAUAUUUAUAGGUCAAUCUGAGGUCACUCAGCCCCCCACAUACUCCAAAUUCACCCAAAAUAGAUUCAAUCGUUUGUGCUUCGUUUGUGCUGGUUUGUGCCGGUAAUAUUUUCGUUUGUGCUGUUUCAGUUUUUUAGAUAUUAAAAUAAUAUUUAUAGGUCAUUCUGAGGUCACUCAGCCCCCCCCCACAUACUCCAAAUAGACUUGUUUGUUUGUGCUUCGUUUGUGCUGGUUUGUGCCGGUAUAAGUUUCAUUUGUGCUGCUUUGGUUUUUAAAAUAUUAGAUAAUGAAUUAUAGACGAUGACGUCACUCAACCCCCCACAUGCUCGAAAUCCACCCAAAAUAAUCUUCUUUAUGUUUAAUUUGUGCCGUCAAAAUGUUCGUUUUUGAUGCUUCGGUUUUUUUUAGAUAUUUUUAGUGAUCAUUCUGAGGUCACGCUCCAAAUUUACCCCAAAUAAUCUUUGUCUGUGCUGUAUUUUUAUUUAUUUAUUCAUUUAUUUUUGUGCUCCGUCGGUCUUUUAGAUAUUAAAAUAAUAUUUAGUGAUCAUUC
ensembl:lncRNA